UCUAUCUUCUUUCCUCUCCUCCUUCUAAUUUCUCUACCUACCCUUUCUUCUCUCUCCUAUACUAGAUCUCUCUUCCCUCUUUGCUUUCUCUCUUCUCUCCUUUCUUAUUUUUGAUCUUUUUCCCUCCUCUAACCUUUUUCCUUAUCUUUUUUCUCUUUUUUUUUGCCCGGGGGGAAGGGGGUGGGUAUUAGGGGGUGUUGGGGAUACAAAUCCAUCUUCUUUCAUUAUCAAAUAUAUCCUACAACUAUGAAAAUAAGAAAGAUUAUUCAUGACCAAACUACAAUCUCAAAUAAAUUAGUCUUUUCCACCUCUCCAAUCUCUCUAUCUUCUUUCCUCUCCCCCUUCUAAUCUCUCUACCUAUCCUUUCUUCUCUCUCCUAUAUCUGAUCUCCCUUCCGUUUUUGCUCUCUCCCAUCUCUCCUUUCUUAUUUCUUAUCUCUUUUCCUCUUCUCUCCCUGGUCCCUCCCAAACUCUCUUUGUAGCCAUGUGAUCAACAAAGAGAAAGAAUGAUGACUCAAAUCAUCACUCAUCUUGCUUAGAAAGCCAUCUUUUUGAGUGUCUGCUUUCUCCCUCCUAUCACUCUCCUCCCUUAUUCAUCUCUCUCUCUCAAUUUUCUCUCCCUCCCAAUCUCUCUCGCCUCUCUCUCUUAAUCUACCUCUUCUUUCUCUCUCUUAUCUCUCCAUGCUCUAUCUCUUCCCCUUUCUCUCUUUCUUUUUUUUUUUGCACUAGGGCUUAGAGGAGAAGCUUGAGCUUAGAUCCAAGCUGAUUGAAUCAAGUUUUGAGAUGAGCUCAAUUUGGGCUAUUUUUAAAAAAAAAGAGUUUGGACUUCAGCCUAGCAUGCAGC
rnacentral:lncRNA from 1 species